rnacentral:rRNA from 1 species
CCUACGGGUGGCAGCAGUGAGGAAUAUUGGUCAAUGGGCGAGAUCCUGAACCAGCCAAGCAGCGUGAAGGAUGACUGCCCUACGGGUUGUAAACUUCUUUUAUCAAGGAAUAAAGUGAGGCACGUGUGCCUUUUUGUAUGUACUUUAUGAAUAAGGAUCGGCUAACUCCGUGCCAGCAGCCGCGGUAAUACGGAGGAUCCGAGCGUUAUCCGGAUUUAUUGGGUUUAAAGGGUGCGUAGAUGGGUUGUUAAGUCAGCUGUGAAAGUUUGCGGCUCAACCGUAAUAUUGCAAUUGAUACUGGCAGUCUUGAGUAGAGUUGAGGUAGGCGGAAUGCGUGGUGUAGCGGUGAAAUGCUUAGAUAUCACGAAGAACUCCGAUUGCGAAGGCAGCGUACUAAACCGCCACUGACAUUGAUGCUCGAAAGUGUGGGGAUCAAACAGGAUUAGAUACCCCUGUAGUC